AAAAUGUUUGCAAGAUAAGCUUGGCAUUCCCCUGGACAAGGAAGGAAAUAUAUGAUACUUUUGUCUUUUAUAGAAUAGACAUCUGAGAACAGAUACUGUAAAUGUGUCUCCUCAAACAUUUGU